GGGAGUGUUAGGCCUCGACGGGGUCUCGACCCUUUGAAAAUCAGGCGAGAGCAUGCGUGUGUGCCUCUCUCAAAACCAGCACGCAACAAUAAGUGCAAACUUAUUUAAUCCCCGACCUGCUUUGGCUUACGCCUAAGCACUAGGGUUUAUCCCGAACGCAUCGCGUGAGGGACAUCGGUCCGCAAUCGCCGGGUGCGCGGAAUGCCGGUGUGAUAAUCCUCGGCUAGCGCGUGUUAUAUCUGAUACCCAUGCGUAAGAUUAAUCAGAUGCCUUCAACUUUGUUGAAUAAGCCUGUAACAAAUUUUCAUUGGGAAGAACUCUCGGAUGGCGGUUCAAUUCCGCCCACUUCCAUAA
rfam:Parcubacteria bacterium GW2011_GWA1_47_9 TY14_C0012, whole genome shotgun sequence.